ensembl:lncRNA
CUUGAAGAUUGUAAAGAUACUGUCAUCACUCAGAGCUGUGCAGGAAGGAAAGUUAGUGCAUGCAUUUGUCAGAGCUCAGCUGAGGUUGAAUGAAGUGAGACAGAGCAUGCCUGUAUUUUGCUGUAUGCAGCCUCCAAGUCCUGAUGUAGCCUUUAAAUACAAGCCUUGCUUUAACUUUUUGUCUAGAGUUCCUGCCUGUGCAGGAAGGGAUUGGCUGCAGCCAGCCAAUGUGCCCAGGCAAUGCUCUGGUCAUGAAAAGAGCUGAUAAUUCAUUGAAUCCAUGUCUGCUGGGAUGCCCAGGACUGGAUUUCUGCCUUGCAUCCAGCUCAGACCCUCUAACUCUGCAAGUGUUCCCAGGCUUUGGAAGAAUGAAUGACUGCUGGAGUGAGUUACAGCCCAUAUGGUUUUCAUCAGUUGUCUGCAGAGACAAAGAGCAAAUCUUCCAUGCCAACAUGGAAAAAUUUAUUAGCAAGUAUGAGCUGGGGCAAAAAAAUGAAGCCAAGAAUGUUACUAAGAAGCGUUGGAAGCAACUGAAGAGGAGGAUAAGAAAAGUAAAUAUUGAAUUCUUACACAAGGUCUUGAAGGUUGAAAAUGGUCUGAGAUUGAUGCCAGCAAUCAUCAACAGCAAGUUAAACCACUAG